rnacentral:other from 1 species
CUAUCCCUGCACACUGUGGAUGACCGAAGUUUUGACCCAACACCUUUUAAACGGGAUUCCGCCUCCGUUUACGGCCGGUAAGCCUCGCAAGGCCAGUGGACAUCGAAAGUAAGCGGGAGGAAACCCACCUGCACACAGCAGGUUUCAAAACAACGGCUCCCUUUCGUUGCAGGGUUUUU